UCUGAUUCCAUGUACAUUUCUUUUGUACUUCACUAACAAAGUUUGAGUCCAACUACCUGAUCAUUUCAGGACUAACCAAAUGUUAAAGAACAUUAUUGAGGGCAUAGUCUAAAUGCCUCUUGAACACUGGCAUGCAAGGUGGAGACAGCAAGCAUCUUGCUAGGAAGCCUGAAAGGUGACAGCCUCUUUUAAUGCCACGGUCCUCAGUGCCACGUUUUGUUCUCUUGUAGGCACCGUGGCUGCGUCAGACAUUCUUUCCUUGAACACUGGAGGAGAGGGCAAUGUGGCAUCUGAGGAGUCAAGAAGCUUUUCUGGAGCUGUGUCUCAAUGCCUGCAAGACACUUAUUUGAGCACGGGCCACUUUUAGAUGGGAUGCAGUGACAGCAUUCAUGGGAUCUUGCCUGUGUAUGUGGAGGAGGAUGCUGGAAAUAACAACCUCUCAUUUAAGGCAGUGAGAGAGCAGCUGCCAGCCAAGAUCACCCCAGCCACCAGUAAAUAUAUGCCUUUGGAGUAGCUCUUGGUAAUACUAGUUUGGUAGGUAUGUACUCAUCUUGAUUAGUUUUACCAGUUCAGAUUACGUAUGCUUUGUGCCCAGUUGCUGUGUUUUUCUGUGGACUAAUAUUUACCCACUUUCUAAAAUUUCACAGGUCUGUGAUGAACUCAGAAGACACCACUGUAGGACCAUUCAGGGAAGCUGCAGUUCAAUCUGCCCAUUUGUAAGCUGCUUUUCUCUGGUUUCUAAAUAUUGCUAAUUCGAUUUAGAGACGGAACAGCUUCCAAGUAGCCUUAAGGUGAAAGUUAAUGAUCAGAUAUCUUCAUGCAAAGUUCGAAUUGCUUGCCCAUCAAGACACGGAGAUUUGUUUUGAGGGAUCUUUCUAUGUUUUCUACUAUACUGUCUUGCAGUAUUAGGGAAGUUACUACUACUAUCUGAGGGCAGGUUUAUGAGUUGUCCUGGCAUGUUUUUCUCCUGUACUACAGAACAAUUAUUUUUAAAUACUCCAAUAUCCCCUUUAAGGCAUAGGAGGAUAACUCAGCUGUGAAAACAUAGGUAUUCUCCAGCUGAUUGUAAAGAAUUAGCUUGCUCUUCUAGGUUUCUAUAUCCUCCUGAAUUAACUGGUGUUUGAUAAUACUGCUUUCUCCUAUUUUGUCUUUCUUUUCUCUAUUUCCUUUUGUUCAGCUGUUGUUUCUUUUACAAAUUUCUCUUGAUUCCUU
ensembl:lncRNA